rnacentral:rRNA from 1 species
GACGAACGCUGGCGGCGUGCCUAAUACAUGCAAGUCGACCUUAGUGGCGGACGGGUGAGUAACACGUGGGUAACCUACCCAUCAGAGGGGGAUAACACUAGGAAACAGGUGCUAAGACCGCAUACUGAAGGAGGGACCCGCGGUGCAUUAGCUAGUUGGUGAGGUCACGGCUCACCAAGGCCACGAUGCAUAGCCCCCCUGAGAGGGUGGUCGGCCACACUGGGACUUGUCCACGGCCCAGACUCCUACGGGAGGCAGCAGUGGGGAAUAUUGCGCAAUGGGCGCAAGCCUGAUGCAUCCAUGCCGCGUGUGUGAAGAAGGCCUUCGGGUUGUAAAGCACUUUCAGCGAGGAGCGUUACUCGCAGAAGAAGCACCGGCUAACUCCGUGCCAGCAGCCGCGGUAAUUC